UUGUUUUUAAAGUAUUUUUUUAUUUAGGAAGUGAAACAAAAUGCCCAGUGUUGUCUUUGUGCUUUACAUGGUUUCAAACCGGCCAUUUGAGGUCUCUAAAAAAAAAACCUCAGAGGAAGAAUUCAAAACAAAGCAGGAAGCUCCAAACGAAUUCAUCAUUCUCCCCUUCAUCAUUAUCAUCAUCACUGCCAACAUCAUCAUCAUCAUCAUCAUCAUCAUCACUCGUUACAGUUCUGUAGAAAUAAUCAGACUCCAAAGUCACAUCAGUGCUUAUUUACAAGGCCUCUUGCUGCAAAAUAGUUAGGUUUUUAUUUACUCUAAAAAAGGUGUGGUGUAGAUGCGUUCACAAAUAUAUUAAGAAAAAUGACACAGCACAUACUGAAAGUGUCAUUUUUAACAGUAUUUUGUGGUGUAGGACAACAGCCUGUGUUACAUCGGCAUAUUUGUUGCCGUUUCUAUCUUUGAAUCAUUGUAGUAGAAAAAUGAGAAAGAGGUUAUUUCUACAUACAAGGCAUCGUCUACCUGAAUCUAAACUCUUUCAUUGUGCUACUAUCUUUGAAAGAAAAGGUUUUAGGUUAUAAUUCAUAAGAGGAAGUGCUUUUAUAUAAGAAUAGGUAAACUAGCUUGUGGCUAUAGUAGGCUACAGUAGUUCAUAGUAGAAUCUAAGUGUUCGGCGAUGCACUCUGGUGCUGAAAUAUUGACCAAAUGUCUCCUCUUCGUUCUCAACAAAAGUCUGAAUCACAUCGAGAACUGCCACAUUAAAUUCACAACAGCCAGAGAUGAUGAAAAGAAAAACAACCUGAAAUCAGGAAGAGCCUUUGAGUCUUCAAAUGGAGUUUGGUGUUUUCAUGUAAAGCCCUCGAGCAAAACUGAUCUUCUGAUUGGAUUUUAAAAAAAAUACUGAGAAGAGAGCACAAUAAUUGUGACCAACUUAUAGGAAGAAACUCUGGCUGUGUUCAAGGACUAGUGAGGAUCAAAGAGAAGCCGGUUCAGCAGCACAGCUGUUGUUUCACAUCUUAAACAAUUCCAAUAUGCUACCAAGGCAGAAGAGUGGCCACAGUUUUAACUGUUCAGGGUUUGCGUUUCGUCCAUGUUUCAGCACCAGAGGUCUACAGCAGUACCUUCUACUCUCUACGAUAUUUUAGAAUAAUAAUACGAGGCAGGCAGUGCAUAAACCAUGUACAAAAAGACCCAUCCCGACCCAACCCAGAGCCCUCUGUCUAAAGGAGUAGAACCACCUGUGUGAACCCCUGGAAGCCCCAGCAGCUGCUAAUACUCAUACAGACACAACUGUCUAUAAGAUUAUAAUGAUACCAAUAUAAAAUUGUAACUAGGAGGCAACGUUUUCCACACUGUGUACCAAAGCAGCUGAGUUUGAAAAACAGACUCCCUGCUCACUCCAAUUUGGUCUUUCUGACCGGCUGUCACAGCGGCGUCACAGUCCCUGUAAAUUUAGAGCUCCAAACCCAACCCGCCAUUAUUUAACACUAACUUGGUUCGCUAACUCCCUGAAAUGUCAUUUCUCGUAACUACAUAGAAUAGUGGCAUUUGAAGAAAAAAAAAAAUCAAGAUGUUACAAGCAGUUAUGACUCACGUGUCUUCAAAAAUAUCAUGCAUUAUUGCUCUAUCGGAUAUCAACGAAAUAUUGUCCAAGACAGAAAUUUGUUCGGUUUUGCCUGUUAUCUAAGAGGUUUGGAAAAAUAUCCAAAAAAGAUUCAUAAAAUUGGCAUAGAUUCCAUUAUUAGGCUAUUAUUUUUUUCCUCUCUUUUUUUUUUU
ensembl:lncRNA